AAAGUCUGACCUGCCCAAUGAAGUAAAUUUAAAUGGCCGCGAUAUUUUGAUCGUGCAAAGGUAGCAUAAUCAUUAGUUUUUUAAUUAAGAACUGGUAUGAAAGGUUGAACGAGAAAAAUACUGUCUCAAUUUAAUUUCAUUAGAAUUUUAUUUUUAAGUAAAAAAGCUUAAAUAUUUUUAAAAGACGAGAAGACCCUAUAGAGUUUAAUAUUUAUUUGUAUUAAUAAAAGUUUAAGUAUUUUUUUUUAUAAUAUAAUAAAGUAUUUGGUUGGGGUGACUAAAAAAUUAAGAUAACUUUUUUUAUUUAUUUAACAUUAAUAUAUGAUUAAUUGAUCCA
rnacentral:rRNA from 1 species